rnacentral:rRNA from 1 species
AUUGAACGCUGGCGGCGUGCCUAAUACAUGCAAGUUGAGCGCUGAAGGUUGGUACUUGUACCAACUGGAUGAGCAGCGAACGGGUGAGUAACGCGUGGGGAAUCUGCCUUUGAGCGGGGGACAACAUUUGAAAACGAAUGCUAAUACCGCAUAAAAACUUUAAACACAAGUUUUAAGUUUGAAAGAUGCAAUUGCAUCACUCAGAGAUGAUCCCGCGUUGUAUUAGCUAGUUGGUGAGGUAAAGGCUCACCAAGGCGAUGAUACAUAGCCGACCUGAGAGGGUGAUCGGCAACAUUGGGACUGAGACACGGCCCAAACUCCUACGGGAGGCAGCAGUAGGGAAUCUUCGGCAAUGGACGAAAGUCUGACCGAGCAACGCCGCGUGAGUGAAGAAGGUUUUCGGAUCGUAAAACUCUGUUGGUAGAGAAGAACGUUGGUGAGAGUGGAAAGCUCAUCAAGUGACGGUAACUACCCAGAAAGGGACGGCUAACUACGUGCCAGCCGCCGCAGUAACAC